UACCAGCACCCCGAGUGGUCGGGACGUUUAUUGGGCCUAAAGCAUCCGUAGCCGGUUCUACAAGUCUUCCGUUAAAUCCAACUGCUUAACAGGUGGGCUGCGGAAGAUACUAUAGAGCUAGGAGGCGGGAGAGGCAAGCGGUACUCGAUGGGUAGGGGUAAAAUCCGUUGAUCCAUUGAAGACCACCAGUGGCGAAGGCGGCGAUUGCCAGAACGCGCUCGACGGUGA
rnacentral:rRNA from 1 species